AUUGAACGCUGGCGGCAGGCCUAACACAUGCAAGUCGAGCGAGUGGCGGACGGGUGAGUAAUGUAUGGGAAUCUGCCUGAUGGAGGGGGAUAACUACUGGAAACGGUAGCUAAUACCGCAUACCAUCGGAUGUGCCCAGAUGGGCUUAGCUAGUAGGUGGGGUAAAGGCUCACCUAGGCGACGAUCCCUAGCUGGUCUGAGAGGAUGACCAGCCACACUGGAACUGAGACACGGCCCAUACUCCUACGGGAGGCAGCAGUGGGGAAUAUUGCACAAUGGGCGCAAGCCUGAUGCAGCCAUGCCGCGUGUAUGAAGAAGGCCUUCGGGUUGUAAAGUACUUUCAGCGGGGAGGCGUUACCCGCAGAAGAAGCACCGGCUAACUCCGUGCCAGCAGCCGCGGUAAUUC
rnacentral:rRNA from 1 species